AAGGGCAUAGCUCAGUGGCAGAGUGUGAGCUCAGCAAGCAUAAGGCUCUGGGUUCCACCCCCAGCAUUCUUC
rnacentral:tRNA from 1 species